rnacentral:rRNA from 1 species
CCUACGGGAGGCAGCAGUGGGGAAUAUUGGGCAAUGGGCGCAAGCCUGACCCAGCAACGCCGCGUGAAGGAAGAAGGCUUUCGGGUUGUAAACUUCUUUUCUCAGGGACGAAGCAAGUGACGGUACCUGAGGAAUAAGCCACGGCUAACUACGUGACAGCAGCCGCGGUAAUACGUAGGUGGCAAGCGUUAUCCGGAUGUACUGGGUGUAAAGGGCGUGUAGGCGGGAAAGCAAGUCAGAUGUGAAAACCAUGGGCUCAACCUGGGGCCUGCAUUUGAAACUGUUUUUCUUGAGUACUGGAGAGGCAGACGGAAUUCCUAGUGUAGCGGUGAAAUGCGUAGAUAUUAGGAGGAACACCAGUGGCGAAGGCGGUCUGCUGGACCGCAACUGACGCUGAGGCGCGAAAGCGUGGGGAGCAAACAGGAUUAGAUACCCUUGUAGUC